rnacentral:rRNA from 1 species
GAUGAACGCUGGCGGCGUGCUUAAUACAUGCAAGUCGAGCGGACAGACGCGAGUUUUUGCGCUUUCUGACGUUACCGGCGGGCGGGUGAGACAUGAGUGGGUUACCUACCUAUUAGAGAUGACUUAAUUCGGGUAACCCGAGUUCAUACCGGGUAAUAUUGAUCCUUGCAUGAAGUUAUAGAGAUAGACGGGUUUGCUGUCACUUAGCGAUGGACCCGCGGGGUAUUAGCUGGUUGGGGAGGUAACGACUCACCAAGGCAGCGAUGCGUAGCCGAACGGAGAGGGUGAUCGGCCACACUGGGACUGAGACAGGCCCCAGGCUACUACGGGAGGCAGCUGUAGGGAAUCGUACGCAAUGGACGAGAGUCUGACGGAGCAAUGCCGCGUGAGUGAAGAAGGUUUUCGGAUCGUAAAACUCUGUUGUAGGGGAAGAACAAGUACGUUAGUAACUGAACGUACCUUGACGGUACCUGACCAGAAAGCCCCGGCUAACUACGUG